AUUUGUACGUUACCUACAGAAGAAGCACCGGCUAACUCCGUCGCCAGCAGCCGCGGUAAUACGGGAGGGUGCGAGCGUUAAUCGGAAUUACUGGGCGUAAAGCGCAUGCAGGCGGCCUGUUAAGUCAGAUGUGAAAGCCCGGGGCUUAACCUCGGAAAUUGCAUUUGAAACUGGCAGGCUAGAGUCUUGUAGAGGGGGGUAGGAAGUUUCAGGUGUAGCGGUGAAAUGCGUAGAGAUCUGAAGGAAUACCAGUGGCGAAGGCGGCCCCCUCGGACAAAGACUGACGCUCAGAUGCGAAAGCGUGGGGAGCAAACAGGAUUAGAUACCCUGGUAG
rnacentral:rRNA from 1 species